rnacentral:tRNA from 1 species
CAAGUUAUAUAAAAGGAAUUAUAAAUUAUUUACAAUAAUUUAUUGGUUUGUGCAAUUCAACCUAACUUGA